rnacentral:rRNA from 1 species
UACGUAGGGAGCAAGCGUUAUCCGGAUUUAUUGGGUGUAAAGGGUGCGUAGACGGGAAAUUAAGUUAGUUGUGGAAUCCCUCGGCUCAACUGAGGAACUGCAACUAAAACUGGUUUUCUUGAGUGCAGGAGAGGUAAGUGGAAUUCCUAGUGUAGCGGUGAAAUGCGUAGAUAUUAGGAGGAACACCAGUGGCGAAGGCGACUUACUGGACUGUAACUGACGUUGAGGCACGAAAGUGUGGGGAGCAAACAGGAUUAGAUACCCUGGUAGUCCACACCGUAAACGAUGGAUACUAGGUGUAGGGUGUAUUAAGCAUUCUGUGCCGUCGCAAACGCAGUAAGUAUCCCACCUGGGGAGUACGGCCGCAAGGUUGAA